GGACUCGCACAAGCGGUGGAGCACGUGGUUUAAUUCGACAACAAGCGGGAAACCUCACCAAGGCUUGACAUGACGCUGCAAGCCCCGAGAAAUCGGGGCCGCCUACGAGGGUGCGUCACAGGUGCUGCAUGGUUGCCGUCAGCUCGUGUCGUGAGAUGUACGGUUAAGUCCGAUAACGAGCGCAACCCCUAUCCUAAUUUAUACUUUAUUAGGAAACUGCCUCGGAUAACGAGGAGGAAGGUGGGGAUGACGUCAAAUCAGCAUGGCUCUUACGCCUUGGGCAACACACAUGCUACAAUGGCCGGUACAGAGGGUCGCUAAACCGUAAGGUGGAGCUAAUCCCAUCAAAACCGGUCUCAGUUCGGAUUGAGGUCUGCAACUCGACCUCAUGAAGCCGGAAUCGCUAGUAACCGUGAAUCAGCACGUCACGGUGAAUACGUUCUCGAGUCUU
rnacentral:rRNA from 1 species